rnacentral:rRNA from 1 species
CCUACGGGAGGCAGCAGUGAGGAAUCUUGGUCAAUGGGCGCGAGCCUGAACCAGCCAAGUCGCGUGAGGGAAGACGGUCCUAUGGAUUGUAAACCUCUUUUGUCGGGGAGCAAAAGACGCCACGCAUGGCGUUCCGAGAGUACCCGAAGAAAACGCAUCGGCUAACUCCGUUCCCGCAGCCGCGGUAAUACGGAGGAUGCGAGCGUUAUCCGGAUUGAUUGGGUUUAAAGGGUGCGCAGGCGGAAGCUCAAGUCAGCGGUAAAAUUGAGAGGCUCAACCUCGUCGAGCCGUUGAAACUGGGUGUCUUGAGUGAGUGAGAAGUAUGCGGAAUGCGUGGUGUAGCGGUGAAAUGCAUAGAUAUCACGCAGAACUCCGAUUGCGAAGGCAGCAUACCGGCGCUCAACUGACGCUCAUGCACGAAAGUGUGGGUAUCGAACAGGAUUAGAUACCCCGGUAGUC